rnacentral:rRNA from 1 species
UUACCUCACCGACUUCGGGUGUUACAAACUCUCGUGGUGUGACGGGCGGUGUGUACAAGGCCCGGGAACGUAUUCACCGCGGCGUGCUGAUCCGCGAUUACUAGCGAUUCCGACUUCAUGUAGGCGAGUUGCAGCCUACAAUCCGAACUGAGAUUGGCUUUAAGAGAUUAGCUCGCCGUCACCGACUCGCAACUCGUUGUACCAACCAUUGUAGCACGUGUGUAGCCCAGGUCAUAAGGGGCAUGAUGAUUUGACGUCAUCCCCACCUUCCUCCGGUUUAUUACCGGCAGUCUCGCUAGAGUGCCCAACUGAAUGAUGGCAACUAACAAUAGGGGUUGCGCUCGUUGCGGGACUUAACCCAACAUCUCACGACACGAGCUGACGACAACCAUGCACCACCUGUCACCGAUGUACCGAAGUAACUUUCUAUCUCUAGAAAUAGCAUCGGGAUGUCAAGACCUGGUAAGGUUCUUCGCGUUGCUUCGAAUUAAACCACAUGCUCCACCGCUUGUGCGGGCCCCCGUCAAUUCCUUUGAGUUUCAACCUUGCGGUCGUACUCCCCAGGCGGAGUGCUUAAUGCGUUAGCUGCGGCACUGAAUCCCGGAAAGGAUCCAACACCUAGCACUCAUCGUUUACGGCGUGGACUACCAGGGUAUCUAAUCCUGUUCGCUCCCCACGCUUUCGAGCCUCAGCGUCAGUUACAGACCAGAGAGCCGCUUUCGCCACCGGUGUUCCUCCAUAUAUCUACGCAUUUCACCGCUACACAUGGAAUUCCACUCUCCCCUUCUGCACUCAAGUUUGACAGUUUCCAAAGCGAACUAUGGUUGAGCCACAGCCUUUAACUUCAGACUUAUCAAACCGCCUGCGCUCGCUUUACGCCCAAUAAAUCCGGACAACGCUCGGGACCUACGUAUUACCGCGGCUGCUGGCACGUAGUUAGCCGUCCCUUUCUGGUAAGCUACCGUCACAGUGUGAACUUUCCACUCUCACACCCGUUCUUGACUUACAACAGAGCUUUACGAUCCGAAAACCUUCUUCACUCACGCGGCGUUGCUCGGUCAGGGUUGCCCCCAUUGCCGAAGAUUCCCUACUGCUGCCUCCCGUAGGAGUCUGGGCCGUGUCUCAGUCCCAGUGUGGCCGAUCACCCUCUCAGGUCGGCUAUGUAUCGUCGCCUAGGUGAGCCAUUACCUCACCUACUAGCUAAUACAACGCAGGUCCAUCUUGUAGUGGAGCAAUUGCCCCUUUCAAAUAAAUGACAUGUGUCAUCCAUUGUUAUGCGGUAUUAGCUAUCGUUUCCAAUAGUUAUCCCCCGCUACAAGGCAGGUUACCUACGCGUUACUCACCCGUUCGCAACUCAUCCAAGAAGAGCAAGCUCCUCUC